rnacentral:lncRNA from 1 species
GACCUUUUCCAGAUCUCAGGUCUGACUUGCACUCCAGUAGCAUUUGUGCCUAUCCUCCAAGCCGUGGGAGAGGACACACCAUUUCAGCUCAGGCUCUUCAGCCGCCUGCUCUUCCCCUUUGUGGGCAGUGGUCCUGCACUCACCAUGACCUCCUUCGUAGCUUGCUUGAGCUUUCUUCACAGCACUUCCCCUUCUUCAAGGUGGAUAGCCUGUUACUGAACUUGGAGUGGAGGUAUCAAUCUGGCCCACCGGUGGAAGGAUGCCCAGGAUAUUAACAUUAAAGAGGAUUUUAGGAAACAAGAGUUUUGUUUUGUGGCUUCAUGCUGGGCUCAGGAAAACUGCAGCUCCUUUUCACCAAAAAGGUAUGAAACAACCUUGGGAAAAAAACAGGAAACAGAUGACAAACUGUAGAGCACUAUUGUUAGCCAGCACAUCUUCCUCAAUGGCAAGGUGGAGAAAAACCACAGUUGUCUUAGUACAGAAAAAUGACCUCAUCUCAUAGGAUGAAUUUCUCUAUGUAUGUAGAAAGGGGAUUUAACAGAAUGACUCACAGACAGUGGUCCUCCUAGUCCAAUAAUGGCUGAGCAGAUUCAUUGCCAAGGGAAACUAGAAAAAUCAAGGACUUGUUCAGUUCACGUUGCUUGAUAUCUCAGCGGAUCUUGAGUACUUCCCAGAAUUCUGAAGAAAUAAGUAUUACUAAUGCCAGUUUCAAAACAAAACAAAUGAAUGAAUGAAUAAACAAAACACCUUGCUAAAAAAUGUAGGGAAGGAAGAAGACAAUUUGAAAGAACCUCCCUGUUUAAUAUCCAGUAAAGCCUCAUUAAAAACAAAUAAAUUCUUCUAAAUUAAACAACAACCAUCUUCAUACCUUCAGCUUCAUUGAAUUAAAAUAACCACAGCAGGACUUUUUAAAUGUUACUAAAUCUAAAAACAAAAAAAAAAAAAAACCACCCAGGACAUGUGGCCAGUACUUUUAAAAGGUAGAAGGGGGAUAACUACUUAUGAGAAGUUGUCUCCAUACAUACUGAGUAAGGCAUUUUUUUUAAGAUUUAUUUUUUUAUGUCUAUGAAUACACUGUUGCUGUCUUCAGACACACCAGAAGAGGGUGUUGGAUUUUAUUACAGAUGGUUUCGAGCCACUCUGUGCUUACUGGGAAUUGAACUCAGGUGCUCUGGAAGAGCAGUCCGUGCUCUUAACCGCUGAGCCAUCUCUCCAGCCCGAGUAAGGCAUUUUAAUGUGACUGAUUGUAGGAUAUCCACAGUCUCAUAAGAAACACCUUGUCAAUUUUGUAAAAGUAAACCAAAUAAUUUCACUGGCAUCUUUGGUUGAACUAUGAUAAUUUUGAAAUGUGGUGCCAUUGAGAAGUUAGAAAGAGGGGAUAAACAUUGCUUAUUCCCCACCCCUAAAUAAAUGUUCUCAUAGUAGAUUAUGAAUUUAUUUGUUAAACUGUUAUGGUAUUAACAAAUAUAAAAUGUUAGAAUGAUCGAAAGACAGAAAUAGUUUUAAUAAAGAAGGAUUUAUGUAUAGAUUAGGAUGGAAAUUUC